rnacentral:rRNA from 1 species
GACAGAGGCCCCAAGCGUUAGGCGGAAUCCCUGGGCUUAAAGCGUGUGUAGGCGGACGCCUAAGUGUCUUGUGAAAUCCCACGGCUCACCCGUGGAACUGCUGGGCAUACUGGGCGUCUUGGGCCAACUAGGGGCAGCCGGAACAAGCGGUGGAGCGGUGAAAUGCGUAGAUAUCGCUUGGAACGCCGAAGGUGAAAACAGGCUGCUGGGGUUGCGCCGACGCUGAGACACGAAAGCCAGGGGAGCAAACGGG